rnacentral:lncRNA from 11 species
GAUAUCACUUGUGUCUUUUCUAGGCAGUGAAUCAGUGCACAUUGGAUCUGAUCCUGUUAUCCCGGAUCCAUGGGAUACUCCUGAGUAUCUUUCAACAUUCCCCAAAUGUGGAAAGCCAGUUUAAGGCCAAAAAAUUGCUAUACUGAAAGUAGAUGCUGCUGGAUCCUACUGCUACAGGCUGUUUCAAAGAAGUUGCUGCAAACACUUUAGAAGUGGUCAUUUCUUGGCCAUUUCUAC